GAUGAACGCUGGCGGCGUGCCUAAUACAUGCGAGUCGAGCGAACAGAUGAGGAGCUUGCUCCUCUGACGUUAGCGGCGGACGGGUGAGUAACACGUGGAUAACCUACCUAUAAGACUGGGAUAACUUCGGGAAACCGGAGCUAAUACCGGAUAAUAUAUUGAACCGCAUGGUUCAAUAGUGAAAGACGGUUUUGCUGUCACUUAUAGAUGGAUCCGCGCCGCAUUAGCUAGUUGGUAAGGUAACGGCUUACCAAGGCAACGAUGCGUAGCCGACCUGAGAGGGUGAUCGGCCACACUGAAACUGAGACACGGUCCAGACUCCUACGGGAGGCAGCAGUAGGGAAUCUUCCGCAAUGGGCGAAAGCCUGACGGAGCAACGCCGCGUGAGUGAUGAAGGUCUUCGGAUCGUAAAACUCUGUUAUUAGGGAAGAACAAAUGUGUAAGUAACUAUGCACGUCUUGACGGUACCUAAUCAGAAAGCCACGGCUAACUACGUG
rnacentral:rRNA from 1 species